GACGAACGCUGGCGGCGUGCUUAACACAUGCAAGUCGAGCGGUAAGGCCCUUUCGGGGGUACGACGAGCGGCGAACGGGUGAGUAACACGUGGGUGACCUGCCCUCCAGCUCUGGGAUAAGCCUGGGAAACCGGGUCUAAUACUGGAUAUGACUCCAUGACGCAUGUUGUGGGGUGGAAAGCCUUGUGCGGCUGAGGAUGGGCCCGCGGCCUAUCAGCUUGUUGGUGGGGUGAUGGCCUACCAAGGCGACGACGGGUAGCCGGCCUGAGAGGGCGACCGGCCACACUGGGACUGAGACACGGCCCAGACUCCUACGGGAGGCAGCAGUGGGGAAUCUUGCGCAAUGGGCGAAAGCCUGACGCAGCGACGCCGCGUGAGGGAUGACGGCCU
rnacentral:rRNA from 1 species